CAAACUUCUCUCAGAAUCUGCUGAACUUCAGUCUAAACAGAAUAGAAAUGUGGAGGAAGAUGAUUGUGUGU